AUCAACGCUGGCGGCGUGCCUAACACAUGCAAGUCGAGCGAGAAAAGGGGGGCAACUCCCUGAGUACAGCGGCGCACGGGUGAGUAACACGUGGGUAAUCUGCCCUGGAGUGGGGAAUAACACCGGGAAACCGGUGCUAAUACCGCAUACGAUCACGAGGCCUGCGGAUUUUGUGAUGAAAGGAGCAAUUCGCUCUGGGAGGAGCCCGCGGCUGAUUAGCUAGUUGGUGAGGGUAAUGGAUCACCAAGGCUACGAUCAGUAUCCGGUCUGAGAGGACGGUCGGACACACUGGAACUGAGACACGGUCCAGACUCCUACGGGAGGCAGCAGUGGGGAAUUUUUGGCAAUGGGGGCAACCCUGACCAAGCAACGCCGCGUGGGUGAUGAAGUCUCUUGGGACGUAAAACCCUUUCGACGGGGAAGAAAACCGCAAGGUUUGACGGUACCCGUAGAAGAAGCCCCGGCUAACUCCGUGCCAGCAGCCGCGGUAAUACGGGGGGGGCAAGCGUUGUUCGGAAUCACUGGGCGUAAAGGGCGCGUAGGCGGGCCCGCACAAGUCUGCUGUGAAAACCCCCUGGGCUUCAACCCGGGGGCCUGCCGUGGAAACUGUACGGGCUGGAGUCUGGAGAGGGCGGCGGAAUUCCCUGGUGUAGCGGUGAAAUGCGUAGAUAUCAGGGAGGAACACCGGUCGGCGAAGGCGGCCGCCUGGACAGAACCCUGACGCUGAGGCGCGAAAGCUAGGGGAGCAAACAGGAUUAGAUACCCUGGUAGUCCUAGCCCUAAACGAUGGAUACUGGCUGUGGGGGGUAGCCAACCCCCCCCGUGGCGAAGCUAACGCAUUAAGUAUCCCGCCUGGGGAGUACGGUCGCAAGUCUGAAACUCAAAGGAAUUGACGGGGGCCCGCACAAGCGGUGGAGCAUGUGGUUCAAUUCGACGCAACGCGAAGAACCUUACCUGGGCUCGAAGCGGGGCGGACGGGGGCUAAAAGGCCCCGUUCCCUUCUGGGACCGCCCCAGAGGUGCUGCAUGGCUGUCGUCAGCUCGUGUCGUGAGAUGUUGGGUUAAGUCCCGCAACGAGCGCAACCCUUGUCCUUAGUUGCUAACGGGAGAGCCGAGCACCCUAAGGAAACUGUCGGCGAUAAGCCGGAGGAAGGCGGGGAUGACGUCAAGUCCUCAUGGCCUUUAUGUCCAGGGCUACACACGUGCUACAAUGGGCGCCACAAAGGGCCGCAAACCUGCAAAGGGGAGCCAAUCCCAGAAAAGCGCCCUCAGUUCGGAUUGGAGUCUGCAACCCGACUCCAUGAAGCUGGAAUCGCUGGUAAUCGCGGAUCAGCAUGCCGCGGUGAAUACGUUCCCGGGCCUUGUACACACCGCCCGUCACAUCAUGAAGCCGGCUGUACUAGAAGUCCCCGCGCCGACCCUUCCGGGGGGCAGGGGCCCAAGGUAUGGCGGGUGAUUGGGGUG
rnacentral:rRNA from 1 species